rnacentral:rRNA from 1 species
GAUGAACGCUGGCGGCGUGCCUAAUACAUGCGAGUCGAGCGAACGGACGAGAAGCUUGCUUUUCUGAUGUUAGCGGCGGACGGGUGAGUAAAACGUGGAUAACCUACCUAUAAGACUGGGAUAACUUCGGGAAACCGGAGCUAAUACCGGAUAAUAUUUUGAACCGCAUGGUUCAAAAGUGAAAGACGGUCUUGCUGUCACUUAUAGAUGGAUCCGCGCUGCAUUAGCAAGUUGGUAAGGUAACGGCUUACCAAGGCAACGAUGCAUAGCCGACCUGAGAGGGUGAUCGGCCACACUGGAACUGAGACACGGUCCAGACUCCUACGGGAGGCAGCAGUAGGGAAUCUUCCGCAAUGGGCGAAAGCCUGACGGAGCAACGCCGCGUGAGUGAUGAAGGUCUUCGGAUCGUAAAACUCUGUUAUUAGGGAAGAACAUAUGUGUAAGUAACUGUGCACAUCUUGACGGUACCUAAUCAGAAAGCCACGGCUAACUACGUG